rnacentral:lncRNA from 1 species
GGUGAGAUGCUACUCUGUCCACUCUCACAGCCCAGGGACAUGACCUGCAGAGGGAGGCCCAUGCACCUGCCACCACGCAUCAAAGAUCUCAAGGCCAUUCUCUGGUGAACCCAGAGGUGACAGACUGAACAGUGAAUUGCCAAGACCGAGGGCUGAUCUGCUUUACAGACGUCUCCUGCAGACUCCAAAGCAUUCUAUAACCUAUUCUAACCACGGCAGCUCUGUGCAGGCUGUGGUGCUUCUGUGCCCUCUGCCCCUGGCGCAGCGUGAGGCUGGCAGCUGAUUCAGCGCAUUGUCUGGAGACCCAGCAUGGUGCCAUCUCUGCUGACUUUCAUCUCUAUUGGCUAAGAAUCCUUGCCAACAGGGCCUCUGAAAGGAGGGAGGCACACACGGAUCUGCCCGGGAACGUGUGCUACAAGGUUAAGCGUGUUUGCCCAGGCGAGGUGGGUAAUGCUCUUAUCAUGUAUGACCUUUACAAUAUGUGGAAUGCUGUCCGGGACAAAAUCACCACUAUUAAGAUGGUUUCCACACCAGGGUACCAGCCAUUAAUCACCAUGCAUGUGAGUGGCUGUGGGUGCUGCCUGAGAAGCCUUGAGUCCCACAGUAUAUGCCAGCCUGCUGCUGGCUCUUCAAGUCUCACCCCCUUAUGAUCUUUAGGUCCUGUGGUCUCCUAUCAUUCUGGCAUCCCAAAAUUCCAGCAUCCCCAGAGUUCUAGCAUACAAGCACCCACAUAUCCUGACACUCUGGCAUCCCUGAAUCCAGCAUCCCCAUUUCUCUCUAUCAUAGCAUCCCUAUAUGCCAGCAUCCCCAGAGUUCUAGCAUACAAGCAUCCACAUAUCCUGACACUCUGGCAUCCCUGAAUCCAGCAUCCCCAUUUCUCUCUAUCACAGCAUCCCUAGAUCCCAGUAUCCCUGUGUCCAAGUACCCCUGUGUCCCCAGCACCCUUGUGUCCUGGCAUCCCAGCAUCUCUGUAUCCCUGCACCCGGGCAUUCCUGUAUGGUCAUAUUCCUGAAUCCUGGCAGACCAGCAUCCUAGGAUCCCAGCCCGUCUCCCCAGUGAUUCAGGGGAAGAGCUGCCUUCUCAGUGUCCUUGGCCAGAGGCUCCUUAUUCUAAGGUUUCUUUGUGUCCCUGGCACUGAUAAAUAAUAUGUCCCUGAUGCCUAUGCUGAGCCUGCAUAAUUUAGCAUUGACCAAUGGCAUCUGUGACACAGAGACCAGCCAGUCCUUCUCCUGGGCGUCCUGUAGAUGUUUUUCAGGGGAGUUGACUGGCACUAGGCUGACCUGCUCCUGCCUCAACAUUUACCUGCUUCUCGGAGCUUAAUUGAAGAAAUGCCAAGCCAUUGAGUUCAGAAUCUGAGCACCCACCAGGGCACUGCCUGAUGUCACCCAGCCUACAGCUGCCCAACCCUAGAAAGAGCACACCACCCAGAACUCCUGAGACCUCGAGAUGGGGUGGGGUGGGGGUGUCGGUCGAACCUCAUCUCCCUGUAUACACCAAUUUCAAAAGCUGGAUGCAUAAGCACACCAGAAAAUCACCUGACUGGCAACCCUCGUACUAGCUACCUGACACCCAUAGGCACAAAUGAAUAAAAUAAAAUAUGCUUCAGAUACA